GACGAACGCUGGCGGCGUGCUUAACACAUGCAAGUCGAACGGAAAGGCCCUGCUUUUGUGGGGUGCUCGAGUGGCGAACGGGUGAGUAACACGUGAGUAACCUGCCCUUGACUUUGGGAUAACUUCAGGAAACUGGGGCUAAUACCGGAUAGGAGCUCCUGCUGCAUGGUGGGGGUUGGAAAGUUUCGGCGGUUGGGGAUGGACUCGCGGCUUAUCAGCUUGUUGGUGGGGUAGUGGCUUACCAAGGCUUUGACGGGUAGCCGGCCUGAGAGGGUGACCGGCCACAUUGGGACUGAGGUACGGCCCAGACUCCUACGGGAGGCAGCAGUGGGGAAUAUUGCAGAAUGGGCGGAAGCCUGAUGCGGCAACGCCGCGUGCGGGAUGACGGCCUUCGGGUUGUAAACCGCUUUCGCCUGUGACGAAGCGUGAGUGACGGUAAUGGGUAGAGAAGCACCGGCUAACUACGUG
rnacentral:rRNA from 1 species